rnacentral:rRNA from 1 species
UGCAGUCGAACGAUGAUCAGGAGCUUGCUCCUGUGAUUAGUGGCGAACGGGUGAGUAACACGUGAGUAACCUGCCCCUGACUCUGGGAUAAGCGUUGGAAACGACGUCUAAUACUGGAUAUGAUCACUGGUCGCAUGGCCUGGUGGUGGAAAGAUUUUUUGGUUGGGGAUGGACUCGCGGCCUAUCAGCUUGUUGGUGAGGUAAUGGCUCACCAAGGCGACGACGGGUAGCCGGCCUGAGAGGGUGACCGGCCACACUGGGACUGAGACACGGCCCAGACUCCUACGGGAGGCAGCAGUGGGGAAUAUUGCACAAUGGGCGAAAGCCUGAUGCAGCAACGCCGCGUGAGGGAUGACGGCCUUCGGGUUGUAAACCUCUUUUAGUAGGGAAGAAGGGAGCUUCGGUUCUUGACGGUACCUGCAGAAAAAGCACCGGCUAACUACGUGCCAGCAGCCGCGGUAAUACGUAGGGUGCAAGCGUUGUCCGGAAUUAUUGGGCGUAAAGAGCUCGUAGGCGGUUUGUCGCGUCUGCUGUGAAAUCCCGAGGCUCAACCUCGGGCUUGCAGUGGGUACGGGCAGACUAGAGUGCGGUAGGGGAGAUUGGAAUUCCUGGUGUAGCGGUGGAAUGCGCAGAUAUCAGGAGGAACACCGAUGGCGAAGGCAGAUCUCUGGGCCGUAACUGACGCUGAGGAGCGAAAGCAUGGGGAGCGAACAGGAUUAGAUACCCUGGUAGUCCAUGCCGUAAACGUUGGGCGCUAGAUGUAGGGACCUUUCCACGGUUUCUGUGUCGUAGCUAACGCAUUAAGCGCCCCGCCUGGGGAGUACGGCCGCAAGGCUAAAACUCAAAGGAAUUGACGGGGGCCCGCACAAGCGGCGGAGCAUGCGGAUUAAUUCGAUGCAACGCGAAGAACCUUACCAAGGCUUGACAUACACCGGAAACGGCCAGAGAUGGUCGCCCCCUUGUGGUCGGUGUACAGGUGGUGCAUGGUUGUCGUCAGCUCGUGUCGUGAGAUGUUGGGUUAAGUCCCGCAACGAGCGCAACCCUCGUUCUAUGUUGCCAGCGGGUUAUGCCGGGGACUCAUAGGAGACUGCCGGGGUCAACUCGGAAGAAGGUGGGGAUGACGUCAAAUCAUCAUGCCCCUUAUGUCUU